GAUGAACGCUAGCGGCAGGCUUAACACAUGCAAGUCGAGGGGUAUAUGCCUUCGGGCAUAGAGACCGGCGCACGGGUGCGUAACGCGUAUGCAAUCUGCCUUCCACAAAGGAAUAGCCCAGAGAAAUUUGGAUUAAUGCCUUAUAGCAUCACGAGAUGGCAUCAUCAUGUGAUUAAAGAUUUAUCGGUGGAAGAUGAGCAUGCGUCCCAUUAGCUAGUUGGAGUGGUAACGGCACACCAAGGCGAUGAUGGGUAGGGGUCCUGAGAGGGAGAUCCCCCACACUGGUACUGAGACACGGACCAGACUCCUACGGGAGGCAGCAGUGAGGAAUAUUGGUCAAUGGGCGCAAGCCUGAACCAGCCAUGCCGCGUGCAGGAUGAAGCAUCUAUGGUGUGUAAACUGCUUUUAUACAGGAAGAAACACUCCCUCGUGAGGGAGCUUGACGGUACUGUAGGAAUAAGGAUCGGCUAACUCCGUGCCAGCCGCCGCAGUAA
rnacentral:rRNA from 1 species